UACGUAGGCAGCGAGCGUUGUUCGGAGUUACUGGGCGUAAAGGGCGCGUAGGCGGCCCGCUAAGUCGAACGUGAAAUCCCCGAGCUCAACUCGGGAACUGCGUCCGAUACUGGCGGGCUUGAAUCCGGGAGAGGGAUGCGGAAUUCCAGGUGUAGCGGUGAAAUGCGUAGAUAUCUGGAGGAACACCGGUGGCGAAGGCGGCAUCCUGGACCGGCAUUGACGCUGAGGCGCGAAAGCUAGGGGAGCAAACGGG
rnacentral:rRNA from 1 species